CUAAAUAUUAGUAAAAUGUAUGAUUAAUAAUUUAGCCUUAAAUAAAAUGAUCCAGAUGAUGACCUUUCACCUGACGACGACCUCAUCCGACCGGGACUAUUCCUCACGCCGCACGGCCGCAGCACGCGCAUUUUUUAAUUACCGGAAGAUAUGUUCAACACCGCGACCGCGGCAGCUGCAAAGACCACUAUAGCCUGGAAACUCAAUAAUAUCUCUGUGGAAAUACAUGUAAAAAUAUCAAUGUCUCUGGUCAAGCUAGGAGGAGGAAAGUGCCAGAGAAGUUCAAGUUUGCUGCCACAUCAGCUACGACUGACCAUGCUUUCCCAACUUUGCUGGAGUACUACCGUGUUAAAGUGUAUUACGUUUUUGUGGACACAAUGAUACAAGAGCUUCAGAGAUGCUUUAAAGGAGGAGAUAAUUUCAAAUGGGAAAUAUUGCAUGCCUUCCAUUGCCUGACAGUCCCAGAGAACUGGAAAACAGCUAGCAUUCCAACAGCAGCACUCCAAGCUGUGAAGAAACUGUGCCAGUUCUACAAUAUUGAAGAUGAAGACAAAUUGCAGACAGAAUUGAAGGUCUUCCAUACGUCAUACUCAUGCCCACCACCAGCCAAUGUGUCUUCUAUUCUGUCAGUGGUCAAGGAAAACAAUGCACAUCUAGUUUUCCCCAACAUGACUCUGCUGCUGAAGACAUAUAGCACACUUCCGGUGUCCACAGCAACUGUGGAACAUUCCUUCUCAAAACUGAAGCUUGUGAAAACCAAACUUCGCAGCCUUUGCAAAGAGCAGAGAUUGUCUGACCUUCUUCUGUUGGCCAUUGAGAAGGACAUUCCAAUAAAUGACAAUAAUGUCAUUAACAUUUUUAGGGACAUGGCCAACAGGAAAUUUCUGUUAUAAAAGCCUACAACAACUCAUCCUCCACUUAUUGCUCUUGGUGUGCAGCAGCCUCUGUGAGCAUCUCCCUCUUAUUUUCAUGGAGCAGUCAGCCUUGGCAGUCUCUCAGAUCAACUCCAGUAUUAGCAGCAGCAACAACAACAGCAAAGGCAGCAUACUCACUCAAGGAAUUUAGUAAGAUUUUACCAGAACAGGUAUCACAUUAAUGUAAAAAAUCUGUUGUAUUUGCUGUAAAAUAAAAUUGCUGUAUUUUUUCUGUUUGCUUUGUUUUUGUUUUUAUUAUAUUAAUGGAACUCUUGUAUUUUUGUAAUUCAGUUUUUGCCAUCAAAAUAGCCACAAAUGCUGACAUGGCAUUAAAUAAAACUAUACUCUACUGUACGAAACAUGGGCCACGUUGAUUUUACUAUAACGUUUACUAUAGUUUUUACUAUAACGGCUGUUCUUAAUUAUUCUGUAUAACAGAGAAGAAAAAGCCAUCAGGUUGGUACAACUUAAGACACUUCAGUUUCUAAUUAUUCUGGACAGAAAAUAUUUUUUUAACUUUUAAACUUAAAAUUGUCUUUUCUGUUCUGUUUCUUUUCCAAAACUG